GGAAUCAUCAAAUUUUUGAACGCAAAUUGCACUCUCCGGUUUUCCGGGAGAGUAUGCCUGUUUGAGGGUCAGCCUAAAAAAAAUCGACAUUGUUGCUGUUAUUUAAUGGUGACUUUCGUCGGAGAUUGGGUUAUCUUAAACCUUUUUUUUUUUGGUUUUAGCGAAUUAAAAUUUUUUUUUAAGGAUUCCUUGAAGGUUUCAAAGAUUUUUUUUUUUUUAA
rnacentral:misc_RNA from 1 species